rnacentral:rRNA from 1 species
AAACCAAGAAAUUUAGUCAUUCUUUCACGGUAAAAAGACAGUUAGGCGAAAACAAAAAUCAUAAGAAAUCAUUAGACCUUUAGUGCAGGAGUAAAAUCUGAAUACUAAAAGUUAUAUCCAACGUGGUUUAUUUGGUUGUUGAAUCUGUGAUAGCUUUAAGGGAAACUGGGAUUGGAUACCCCAUUAUUUCUAGUUGUAAAUUUAGUUUAAAUUUACCGGAGUACUACGAAUAAAAAGUUUAAAACUCAAAGGACUUGGCGGUGUUUUAGACCUCUCAGGGGAACCUGUCCCGUAAUCGAUAAUCCGCGUUAAACCUAACCUUUUUUGGUAACACAGUCUGUAUACCGUCGUCGCCAGGUAACUUCUUAAAGUAUAGUAGUUAGCUCGAGAAUUUGGUAAAUUAAAACGUCAGAUCAAGGUGCAGCUAAUAAAAAGGUGAGGAUGGGUUACAAUUAUAUAUUUAUAAAUACGAAACAAUGCUUGAAAUAAAGCAUUAUUGAAGGAGGACUUGAAAGUAAUUUUAAUUAUAUAAAUAAAAUGAAUAAGGCUCUGAAACGUG